ensembl:lncRNA
GGAGGCUCAUGGGAGACCUUAUUGCUCCCUAUAACUAGCUGAAGGGAGGUUUUAGUGAGCUGGGGGUUGGCCUCUUCUUGUGUGACUAGUGAUAGGACUAGAGGAAAUGGCUUCAAGCUGUGCCAGGGGAGGUUCAGGCUGGACAUUAGGAAAUACUACUACUCUGAAAGAGUGGUCAGGCACCGGACUGGGCUGCCCAGGGGGGUGGUGGAGUCACCGACCCUGGAAUGUUUGGAUGUUGUGUUGAGGGACAUAAUUUAGUGAGAACUAUUGGUGAUGGGUGGAUUGUUGGACUGGAUGAUCCUAUGGGUCUUUUCCAGCCUUGGUGAUUCUAUGAAUCUAUGAUUCUAUUCUAUGAAAAAUCACAAAACCACAAGAGUCGCCCACUCUCCCCACAGCCAUCUCCCAUCUCCCCAAGGGAUGAGAUUACAUAAACAAACAUGCCAGCCAGACUGUCCUUUUAUCUCUCAAGAAUGCAUGUACUCUAUUCUUUAACCACAGGCAAAAACUUAUCUUGUAUCAAGGGUUCUGAGGUAAGUGCAUCCAGUACUGUUAUUAACGAAUGCCUACUUCUAAAACUCCAACCUGAGUCUGAAAUAUUUUCUUGAUGGACCAAUUUACAGUGACAGUACAGGGUUGAUAUAGGUUGGUUUAUUUAGCAAUAGGUAUUCGUACAUUAAUUUAAGAACCAAUACAUUUGUUUAGCAAACUGAAUCCAUAAGUGAGAGUUCUAAAACUUUUCAUUUCUGCUUUAGUGGGUGAAUAGUCUUAUUUUCCUCAAUAAUUUUGCACUGGAGACAUAACAGAAUACUUUCAUCUUUUGUCUCAAAAGGUGCAAGGACAUUUUCCUUGGUUUCCACAUACACUGUUUUAAAAAGUUGCUCACUAUGGCCUAAUAUGCAAUGGAAAUCUUCCAGAGUGGAUGAAUAUGAGUCAAAGGCCUCAGUGAUGAAGCUAACGGUGAAGAAAAAAAGGGAAGAAGUAGGUGGGCACUCAACCACUAAGAUACCACUGAGCAUGCCUAAGGGGACCUUGGCACAUAUCUCCAAGUCCUUGAAAAAGAAUGACUAUGUAUGCCAAUGUACUGCAUAUGUAUGUCUUAACUGUACACAUGUAGAACCUGAACUCAGGGAGAGUGUGCUUGCUUGUCAAGUCACACGGUAUGUGUUGUGAGGAAUAAAGGAAUGCCACUUUCUAACACCACACUGGAGUUAGAGAGUUUUCUUCCUGGAUUUCAGAUGACAGAAGCAGCUACAUUGGCAGCUUGCUUUUCACAGAAGGGUGUUCUAGAUUUCAGCCCUAUAAUACUUACAUGAGGUUGACUUUUAUAUUUGUCUUUUAUUUGCUAAUGGAAAAAAGGUAUGCAAUGGGAAAUUUGAACAAGGGGAGUACAAACACAGGUACUCAAAGCAUGCUCUGUCUGUUUUGAUCUUGCACGCUAUGUUCAACCAUAAUAAAAACAAUAAUUAAUUUUAAAAAGUACAGAUUUUUCAAAAUAUCUAUUUUAAAGAUUAAGCUGAAAAAGUUAUGCUGAAAUGGUGCUGUUAUACAUGACAAGCUUUUUAGUAGUAUUAUCUUCCCUUCUGUAAAUAAGAACAAUAUGAUUCUUUUAUUCUUUGAAAUAAAACUCUUUCAAAACAAGAAUGUGAAUGAUCACUGAAAAUCACUGUAUUAAUUAAAUCAUUCAAAGUCAAUCUAGACGGAAUAGAGGCUGAGUACCAAGUGUGACAGAAGUAGAUGCUGGCUGUCCUUUCUAUGAUUUAAACAUAUUAUUUGAGUUUUGCCAGAUGAGGAUUUGUUAAUCUGCAUCAAGGCCAUUUACUUCUGUAUGUGCCUAGAAAACUACUGAAAUAGAGCAACUGAAACUACCAACAAACUCUGGCAUCCCUCCUACUAGAGUCCUUUUUAGCGGUCAGGCUGACUUUUUCUGUCAAAAACAAAUAGUUUUUGAUAGUGGUUGCUUUUGACAUAGUGGACUAAGCUGGAUUCUGCAGGAGGUCUCGGCCUUACAUAUCCAAUAAGGCACAGAAAUGCAGGAUCUAACGUUAGAUGAUUAUGACCCUGAAAGGCACGGACCAAUCAGAGGUCUCAC